ACACCGGCAGCUCUAGUGGUAGCAGUUUUUAUUGGGCCUAAAGCGUCCGUAGCCGGUUUAAUAAGUCUCUGGUGAAAUCCUGUAGCUUAACUGUGGGAAUUGCUGGAGAUACUAUUAGACUUGAGACAGGGAGAGGUUAGAGGUACUCCCAGGGUAGAGGUGAAAUUCUGUAAUCCUGGGAGGACCGCCUGUUGCGAAGGCGUCUAACUGGAACGGUUCUGACGGUGAGGGACGAAAGUUAGGGGCGCGAACCGGAUUAGAUACCCGGGUAGUCCUAACUGUAAACGAUGCGGACUUGGUGUUGGGGUGGCUUUGAGCUGCUCCAGUGCCGAAGGGAAGCUGUUAAGUCCGCCGCCUGGGAAGUACGGUCGCAAGACUGAAACUCAAAUGAAUUGGCGGGG
rnacentral:rRNA from 1 species